GAGUUUGAUCCUGGCUCAGAUUGAACGCUGGCGGCAGGCCUAACACAUGCAAGUCGAGCGGAUGACAGGAGCCUGCUCCUUGAUUCAGCGGCGGACGGGUGAGUAAUGCCUGGGAAUCUGCCUGGUAGUGGGGGACAACGUUUCGAAAGGAACGCUAAUACCGCAUACGUCCUACGGGAGAAAGCAGGGGACCUUCGGGCCUUGCGCUAUCAGAUGAGCCUAGGUCGGAUUAGCUAGUUGGUGGGGUAAUGGCUCACCAAGGCGACGAUCCGUAACUGGUCUGAGAGGAUGAUCAGUCACACUGGAACUGAGACACGGUCCAGACUCCUACGGGAGGCAGCAGUGGGGAAUAUUGGACAAUGGGCGAAAGCCUGAUCCAGCCAUGCCGCGUGUGUGAAGAAGGUCUUCGGAUUGUAAAGCACUUUAAGUUGGGAGGAAGGGCAGUAAGUUAAUACCUUGCUGUUUUGACGUUACCGACAGAAUAAGCACCGGCUAACUCUGUGCCAGCA
rnacentral:rRNA from 1 species